rnacentral:misc_RNA from 1 species
GAUGAAGAACGUAGCGAAAUGCGAUAAGUAAUGUGAAUUGCAGAAUUCAGUGAAUCAUCGAAUCUUUGAACGCACAUUGCGCCCCUUGGUAUUCCGAGGGGCAUGCCUGUUCGAGCGUCAUUAUAACCCCUCAAGCUCAGCUUGGUGUUGGGGCCUGCUGCACUGGCAGCCCUUAAAAUCAGUGGCGGCGCCAUCUGGCUCUAAGCGUAGUAAUUCUUCUCGCUAUGGAGUCCUGGUGGAUGCUUGCCAUCAACCCCCAAUUUUUCUAUGGUUGACCUCGGAUCAGGUACGGAUACCCGCUGAACUUAAGCAUAUCAAUAAGCGGAGGA